GACCUCCGGGAAGGCAGCGCGGAUUUUAACCAUCCUCUCAUCUGUUUGAAUGGGAAGAAGCAGCAGCGUGCAGGAGUGAUGGAGACUCUUCACUUGUAGUUACUGGAACUUAUUCUCGACUCUAAAAGGAGGAAACAGAUCUGCAUUUGUGUAUUUUGGAAAUUCCUUUCCCUUUUUCUUUUCUUUGGGGGAUCCUAGCCCGACUGGGGAUCAGGGAUAUUUUGGGGAGAAGAGAAGCUGUUUUACCCCCUCUCUUUCUCUCUCCUCACCAUCCUCCUGACUCACCACUCUGUGGGUUUUUUCUCCUUUAUUUUUUAUUUUCUUAAUUGACAGUUGGAUUCUGUUGAAGAUUUGAAAACAAAAACAAAAAACACUGAAAGAACAGCGGGAUUGUGUGUGUGUGUGUGUGCGUUUCUGUGCUUCCACGGACUCAUCGGGACUGGAGCAGGACAGCAUGGAGGGGGUUUUGGUUGGAUGUAUCGGUGAUGUUUGGGAGCUGCUGGUGCUGAGGAGGAGGAGAACAGGAAGACUGUACCUGCUGCUCUGCUGGCUGCUGGCUGCUCACACCACAGCGCACGAGCCUCGGUUCUGACCCGGACUCAGGUCUGAUCAUGCGGGUUCCUGCAUGUGUGUCCUGAGGCCCUGGAAGGUUUGACAAGCUUCAGCAUGUGAUCAAUGUUACCUAAGAGGUUUCUAGUUAUUGUUAUUUAUUAUAUCUUUAUUAUUCCUUAUGUUGCAUUUUUACCUUCAUUAUCAGCUCCAGUAACCGAGUUACUGGUGUAGCUGUGAGACUGCUGGUCCUUCCCUCGGUUCUUGUGUGUUUCAUGUGGCUGAUCUGUUGGCUGACUGAGGGUUUAUUCAACCUUUCUGGAUCUUUGCAGCCAGGUUAGACUGUCUCUGUGUUUUUUACCCACAGUCGCUUGUCUGCACUGGAUUUGCUUUAAUUCCCCUAAUUUUCAGUUAUUAUUAUUCUUAUUAUUAAAUUGCUUUUUGUAAGUCUUUCUGUUUCAUCUUCUUUUCAUUGUGCUGAAGUUUAGGCUGCUGAAUCAUAUUGGUGUGUAUGUUUAACUGCAUAUGCUUCUCUUCACCAAUUUGUCUCUGAUUUUUUG
ensembl:lncRNA